AUGGAGCUGUCAUCCCCACACUCCAUCAUUCCCAAAAUCUUGACCUUCACCAAUCCAUCAUUUUCAAACAGAAACACACUGUGGCACAUGUAUCAUUCCAAAAACCCAAACACGCUGAUACUGUUAUCAUUCGAAAACCCUGACACUGUAAACCAUUUAUGUCUGACACACUGUCACUAUGACAUGUCAAUGAUUGGUUUCUCAAAUGAUUGCCUCGCCUGGUUCACCAACUACUUCUCUGAUAGAGUUCAGUGUGUCAAAUCGGAGGGUCUGCUGUCCGGACCUCUGGCAGUCUCUAUGGGGGUGCCACAGGGUUCAAUUCUUGGACCGACUCUCUUCUCUGUAUACAUCAAUGAGGUCGCUCUUGCUGCUGGUGAGUCUCUGAUCCACCUCUACGCAGACGACACCAUUCUGUAUACUUCUGGCCCUUCUUUGGACACUGUGUUAACAACCCUCCAGGCAAGCUUCAAUGCCAUACAACUCUCUUUCCGUGGCCUCCAAUUGCUCUUAAAUACAAGUAAAACUAAAUGCAUGCUCUUCAACCGAUCGCUACCUGUACCUACCCGCCUGUCCAACAUUACUACUCUGGACGGCUCUGACUUAGAAUACGUGGACAACUACAAAUACUUAGGUGUCUGGUUAGACUGUAAACUCUCCUUCCAGACCCAUAUCAAACAUCUCCAAUCCAAAGUUAAAUCUAGAAUUGGCUUCCUAUUUCGCAACAAAGCAUCCUUCACUCAUGCUGCCAAACAUACCCUUGUAAAACUGACCAUCCUACCAAUCCUCGACUUUGGCGAUGUCAUUUACAAAAUAGCCUCCAAUACCCUACUCAACAAAUUGGAUGCAGUCUAUCACAGUGCAAUCCGUUUUGUCACCAAAGCCCCAUAUACUACCCACCAUUGCGACCUGUACGCUCUCGUUGGCUGGCCCUCGCUUCAUACUCGUCGCCAAACCCACUGGCUCCAUGUCAUCUACAAGACCCUGCUAGGUAAAGUCCCCCCUUAUCUCAGCUCGCUGGUCACCAUUGCAUCUCCCACCUGUAGCACACGCUCCAGCAGGUAUAUCUCUCUAGUCACCCCCAAAACCAAUUCUUUCUUUGGCCGCCUCUCCUUCCAGUUCUCUGCUGCCAAUGACUGGAACGAGCUACAAAAAUCUCUGAAAUUGGAAACACUUAUCUCCCUCACUAGCUUUAAGCACCAACUGUCAGAGCAGCUCACAGAUUACUGCACCUGUACAUAG
ensembl:lncRNA